AGGAGUGUAGCUCAGUCGGUAGAGCAUCGGUCUCCAAAACCGAGGGUCGGGGGUUCGAGCCCCUCCACUCCUGCCA
rnacentral:tRNA from 1 species